CUGAAAAGACCAACUAUUCUUGGGGAGAUUUUUUCAUCUUCUUCCUUUCCCCCUUUUUCCCUUUCUCUGUUGAACAGACUUAUGCAUGAGUAGCUUUACAGAAAUCUUAUUAGAUGGAGACACAAAGGUGUGGAUGCAGUUGGUUUGAUUCGUCGUCGAGAUGGAGAAUCUCUUCUUUAUGUUCUUGAAUUCAAUUUCAGAAAUUGGUUUUGGAAGAUGGGGAACGGUAGAGGAUUUGUUUGAGAAAUCAAAUGAAUCGAGCUUGGAAUAUUAUUGAUUCGUUGUUGCUAAUCUUUGUGUCGUUUGCAUGGAAGGUAUGGAUGAUGGAACCGUAAUUUGAGUUUUGAAUUUCAUUGAUCUGACAUAUAAAUUGAGUCAUAAAAUGAGAUCUAACCGUUGAAAUCUUAUGAUUUUUGGAUAUGUUAUACACUAGAAUAUCAGUGAGACUCGUCUAAAAUUUCAUAAUGAUCUGACUUAGGGAAGUGGUAUAAACUGAUGUUUUGCAGAGAACCAUACUGAUGAAUGUAAACUACAUGGUAGAGUUUUUAUACUAAAACGAGGCACUUAGAUUGCAUGGAUUUUGUUAAUUUUCGGAUAUGAGGAACCCAUUUUUGUGAUUACUAAUCUGUAGAAAUUUCAAACAAAAUGUACAAUGGUAAGUACACCAACUAGGGGGCUUUCUCAGUUACGCCUGUGUAGUUCAGUUUGGUUUGAUCAUAUUAAAUAAGUCACAAAUCAAUAUCUAACUGUUAGAACUCAACGAAUUUUGGAUAUGUUAUGCAUAGAUAUGCCUGGAAAUCUCGGUUAAAUUUUUAAUAUAAUCGAACCAGUCAAACUGGUAGAAACUGCUGCAGUACAGAGAACCUAUCAUCAGAAUUCGUAUAACAUGGCAAACUGUUUAGGGUUAAAAUGAGGAACUUAUACUACUGGGAUUUAUCUGAUUUUUGGAUAUGAGAAACCAAACUGGGUUAUGUUUCAUCUGUAGAAAUUUCAAAGCAAAUGGAUCAUGGGAAUUACCCCAAAUAGGGGACUUUGUACAGUGAUGCCUAUAGGAAUUCAGUCUCGUUUGAGCUUACAAAAUCACUCGUAACUUGAUAUCUCACUGUUACAUUCCUUUAAAUUAUAUAUAUAUUGUAAUGGUUAUAGUUAUAGUUAUGAAUGCUUUGUGAAAAUCUUGUUAUGGUACGAUCCAUGGAUUAUUGUUUUUCUGUUUUAUGAUUGAAGUCAUAUCUCAUGAACUAUAACGGCUGAACUCGAUUGAGUGCUUAUUCUCUUCGAUUAUGUGAAUGAUCUCAAAUUUGGUCUCACGGAUUGUUUAGAUGCUAUGUUGAUGAUCAAUUAUUGUAUGAAUUUGUCUUUUGGAAACGUAUGCAACGAAUUACUAUAUGAAAAUGCUAUUUAAUGUACCUUGUUAUCAUAAGAGAAAUGUAAACUGGAAGUCCCGGUGCUGACCUGUAAUCAUUAUUAUUACUUGUGGAUUUGUAAAUAAUAACACCCUUAUUCAA